GCACAUGACUUAGGCAGCAUCCGCCCACACAGUCAGCCCAUGCAGCCUUGGGCUGGUGCUAGGGGCUCUGAGAGGCUCACCCCAGUCCCAGCUGGUGGUCUCUGUGGAUUCCCCAGCCAGAUCAGGCAGAAGUGUUUGUGGUUUGCCCUCCCUGUCUGCCCCCAGCCAGAAUUCCAACCUGGCCAGUUCUAAAAGCUGAACCGUGAAGACUCAGCCCUGCCUGGAGCAGCCUUCCCUGGAGCCUGGCUGACUGCACCCACCAGCCGUCAGCUCUGGCCUAGAAACUUAGGGGUCCUGGAGACAGCAGGUCCUGCUACCUCCCUGUCCUCCAUUCAGCCUAAAUGUCCACCUCCUCAGGGGCCUGCCUUCAGCUCACCUGCAGACCAUAGAAGUCUCCCUGCUGUGCACUCAUCCCCUGCGCUUUGGCACUCCCUACUCCGCCCCAGGUGUUCUGCAACAUCGGUAGCAUGACAGAGGGCUUCUUAGAGAGAGGGCGCCCUUGCUACCAGGGUCCACAGGCUCAGUCUCAGCCUGGUUCCUGUUUGUGGUGCCCCUUUCUCAGGCCUGUGGGGAUGUCAGGAGCUUAGGACAGCGCCGGGCUCAAGAGAUGUGGCUACCUUCCCUCCUGCUUUCGGUACUCAGCGCAGGCAGGGUUCAGUGCAGCAAGUAACAGCUGUGGCUUACUGGAUUGUCUGCAACCAUUGGCGACUGAGAGAUCCCUGCAGCCCUCCCAGACCCUCGAUCUGACUGGAGCCAGGCCCACGUGGGGAAAGGGUUAAACGUUGGCAGUGACUUCACCCCUGCAUUGGAGCAGGCGGAGGCAGAGAACCUGCUGGAAGCUGUUCUGAACCAGAGAAGGAUGAAAAUAGCUGCCAAAGAUGUUGCCAUAGCAACUGCUUUCCUUCCUGACCUCCUUGGAAGUGAACUCCCUCAUUUUCCAGAGUAGUCAAGGAAUUUCUGUGCCUCUACCCAUGGCUUUGGUUACCAACUCAUCCCUGGGGGCCUUGGUUUCUUUCUGUGAAAUGGAAUAUUCAUUCCAGCACUCACCACCUUCUAGGCUGGAGUAAGGCUCCAACUUUGCAAAUGCUGUUAGUAAACUGUAGAGCUCCGUGCA
rnacentral:lncRNA from 1 species